rnacentral:sRNA from 1 species
ACAUACUCAUCUCUCCUUCAUCCAUCACUUCUGCUAUUUGUCCAAAUGUUACAC